rnacentral:misc_RNA from 1 species
AACGGUCAAACUGCACUAAGUAUUGCAGACAAUUUGGGAUAUAUUACUGCAGUUGAAACUCUAAAAGUUGUAACAGAGAAAUCUGUAACGAAUACUAUAACUGGCGUACUUGAAGAGAAAUACAAAAUAGUAGCACCAGAAUUGAUGCAUGAAACCUUUAUGUCAGAUUCCGAAGACGAAGGUGGAGACGAAAAUGUUGACCAUCAACAAUAUAAAUACAUGGCUACUGAUGACUUAAAAGCGUCCGAUCAAGAUAAUCACAACUAUGACACAACCAAUACUGACGACCACAAUGAUCAUCAGCAACAAAAACAUAUCCAACAAGUUCUUCAAACAGAAUCAACUGGCCGUAACAUCAUUCAAAACGAUAAAGCUGACAUUAAUUUUGCAUCAUCGAAUCGAUAUUCCUUGAAGCAGAAUGACAAUGUGCCGAUUACUCGGCCUCCUGUUCAUUUGGGUUUCCUGGUAUCGUUCCUUGUGGAUGCACGUGGUGGCUCAAUGCGAGGUUGCCGCCACAGUGGAGUCCGUUUGAUUGUUCCCCCAAAAGCUUGUACGCAGCCAACACGUAUCACCUGUCGUUAUGUAAAACCACAAAGAGUGCAUAAUUCGCCUCCCUUAAUGGAAGGCGAAGCCUUAGUUAGUCGUAUAAUGGAAUUAUCUCCUGUCGAGGGCAAAUUUCUUAGGCCAGUGGUUCUUGAGGUACCGCAUUUUGGGUCACUGAGAGACAAGGAGCGAGAAAUAAUAAUUUUGCGUUCAGACAACGGAGAUAGCUGGCGGGAACAUACAUUGUUCGACAGUGACGAAGUAAUGCUAGACGUUCUUCAGGAAACGGCAAAUGGUGAACUGAAUCCAAUGGAAGAUUUGCACACUAGUCGUAUCGUACGCAUUAUAACACACACGUUUCCACAUUUUUUUGCGGUAGUAUCUCGUAUUCGGCAGGAGGUUCAUGCUAUUGGCCCUGACGGUGGCACCGUCUCUUCAGAAGCGGUGCAGCAAGUACAGGCAAUUUUUCCGCCUAACUCUCUCACUAAGAAGAUUCGCGUCGGUCUUCAGGCACAGCCAGUUGAUCUGAACGGUUGCAGCAAACUCCUGGGCCAAGGUGUGGCUGUGUCGCCAGUGGUUACCGUUGAACCGCGCCGUCGGAAAUUUCACAAGGCUAUUACGCUCAGCAUACCAGCUCCAAAGGCGUCUACUCAAGGGAUGGUGAAUGCCCUUUACACAGGCAAUGCUACAACUCUACGCCUUUUGUGUUCAAUAACAGGGGGACAAAAUCACGCGGUCUGGGAAGAUGUAACUGGGUCAACACCCUUUGCUUUCGUAAAGGAUAGUGUCACAUUUACUACGACAGUAUCGGCACGUUUUUGGUUAAUGGAUUGUCGUCAUAUCUCGGACGCUAGCCGAAUGGCCACUGAACUAUAUUCUUACAUGGCUCAAGUCCCAUUUAUGGUAAAAUUUGUGGUUUUUGCAAAACGAGUUUCAUUAAAUGAGGCAAAGAUUUCUGUGUUUUGUAUGACGGAUGACAAAGAAGAUAAAACCCUGGAGCAGCAAGAGUACUUCACCGAAAUUGCUAAAAGCAGAGAUGUGGAAGUACUUGGCGAUCAGCAUAUUUAUUUGGAGUUUACAGGCAACUUGGUACCUGUAUUGAAAUCAGGCGAACAGUUUAAUUUAAAAUUUCAGGCCUUCCGCGAAAAUCGCCUUUCUUUCAUUGUGCAUGUAAAAGAUCAAGAAGAGCCUUACGGUCGCAUAAGCUUCAUGAAUAAUCCGAAAGUAGGUAUCCGUGAACCACCACAGGAGCCAAUCUGUGUACUAAACAUAUCAUUAGAAGGUUCUGAUAUUGUUGAUAGUGUCAAUCGUUUUAAUUGUAGCCAAAGGUGUUUAAAUAAUAUAACAAUUGAUCCUGGUCUCAAUUAUAAGGAUUUGUUAAAUGCAGGUUUCAAGAUAACAGCGUUGAAACUUGCAAAUGACUUAGACGGAUCUUCAGAUGUUAGAGAAGGUCUAAACCAAGUAAAUGUACUGCAAAUACAUGCAGAAGGCGACAAAACAUUGCACCGAGUCGAUAUACGCUUACCGGAUGUAUGUAAUUUUAUAAACGACGACUGGAUACGCUUGGCUAAAGAAUUGGGUGUCUCCAAGACCGAUUACGAGGUCAUUAAUGCCGAAUGCACGGAGAGUCCAUCUCAAAAAGCAAUGAUUAUGCUGCGACUUUGGGUGCGUCAACAAGGUCAUAAAGCCACAGGCAACCGCUUAGAACAUGCUUUGCGCAAUAUUAAUAGACGCGAUAUUGUAGACAAAUGUAUAUUUAAUAUGGAACCUGUGACUGAUGACAUCGAAAAAAACAUGUCUAAAACUACACUAGAUCGAUUGCUGUUGAGUGGACAAAAAUCCCCUAAGAAUUGUAUAUUAAAGGAAAAUGAAAUUCAUGGGUCCCAUGAUGUGAAUGAUGUGACGGUAUCCGCUGAAAUCGCAGAAGGUAUAUCUGCAAAUGGCGCGUCAAUGAAGAUGAAUUCACUAACACCCAAUAAUAUUUCACAAUUGAUACAAACGAACUAUGACAUAGAUAAUAUACGUCGAAUCGCUGAAGAACAUGUUGUACAAAUAUUAGAUGAAGCUCAAAAGAACAUUGAAGGAGAUGGUUCUUCUCGAUCUAUUAUACAACGAAGUAAUGUUACAAGUCCUUUGCAGGUAGUAAAAAAUCAUGGUGAUGGAUGGAAAGCUGGUACGACGGAAACCCAGAUUAUUUGUGCGAGCGAUGAUAACGUGUUACCUAUGGUCAAACAGCAUCAACAGGAACAUAUUGUACAGCCAGAUGAUGCUCUAAUACAUCAUAUAAUUGAUCGAACGUCCAAUAUUAACGUUAUUCCGAAUGUUUAUGAAGGUGUAAACUCAACAACUCACUACCGUAGUGACGGGCACGAAAAAAAUCAGCUGUUGCUAGAUAAAGAAGUAAGUAAGCAGAACUCCGAAGACGCGUUAAUUGAAGAUUGUAUGGGCAAAAUUAAUAAGUUGCCUGUUGGAGCGUUAGAAAAAGUGUCUUCAAGUAUACUGGCUUCUGUAAACAAUGGUAAUGAAAGUACACUUAACUCGUCAAUUACAUCAACUAUAAAUGAAAAUAGAAGUAAUAUAUUUGAACAACAAUAAACUUCUAUGUUAGAACCGUAAGCAUCAUAUGAAGAUAUCUUACACAGGCCAGCGCACACCUUCCGUUACAGAUCCGAACCAAGUAAUCUGUUGCUUGGUCGAGAAAAUGGCUAAAAGCCUAAUGUAUUUGUCAUAAGAUGAUGUCUACGAGUUCCUGAAUUCUUUUCUGCCAAGUAAGAUGUACAAACGAAAAGAAGUUGUUGAUGGCAAUAUUUUUCUAUUUGUUUGAAAUGAUGUCCGCUUUAACAACUGUUUUGGGAAUGUUCUUUUAUUCUAUGGUCAUCAAUGAAAACUAAUAUUUAGAUAAAGUGGAGGUUUCAAUGAGCUGAAGCAUUUAAUUAAAGAAAAAUCAUGAAAAUGGCAGUUAUAUAAUAGAAUACGAAUGUUAUAAUGUGUUAUAUGCAUAUACCAAGUGCUCGAAAAAAAGUUGUCCACCAAAUAAUAGAAUAAGUGACGUGGUAUAAAAUUUAACCCAUUUACAAACAAAUAUUAAACAAUUUUGCGUGCGAUUUGGUACAAUAGUCUUUUUAGAAUUUUGAACGAUAAAUAUUUUUCAAUAUUUCCUUUUCACAGUAUUCCUUAACAAUACAUUGACUAUUGAAUAGAAAAAACCUUUUUAUAGUAGCAUUUUUUAGAAGUACUUGCUACUUUGAAAUGUGGUAGCCAUACAAAGGUAAAAAAUCUAGGGUAACAAAGGAAAAACGUACAGAAAUAUAAAAAAAACGGCUAAACUAAAGAUAUUGUGCUUGAGUUCAAAGUCGAAGUAUCGAGUCGUAGAGAUUUUUUUUUUAAUUAGCAAUAUCGCGGGAAAAAGUACGAUUUUUAUUUAAUUCUGGCUCUCCUUAAACCCUUUCUUAUUUUGUCUUUGAAACAUUAUUUUGUUAACAUUUCAAAUUUAUCUCAUACAAGCUGCAGUGGCAGAGAAUAAAACAUAGUAAUAUAAAUAAAACCAUUUUUCUUGUUAUAAAGUGAAUAAAUCUCAUUUGUCGCUUCUGGUAUUUGGUGGACAGCUGUAUAUACUAUACGCAGCGUAUAGAAUAAAAUUCUUAUUCUUAUAAUAUAUGUUGAAUAAGCUGUUAUUACAUUUAGUAUAUUACAUCAGUAUAUAAAGUUUUAUUAACUUACCAGCAUUCACGCACCAAACAUAUUAUUUGCAUUAAAUGAAAUUUAUCAUAUGUUUUCAAAUGACUUACUUUUAAUGUAUAUACGCUUGUUUACGUAUGCACAUGUAAUGCCCAAAGGAAAAAGUGAUAAAGGUAAUUAUGCAUGCUAAAUGUUGAAACAACCUGUAUUGUAAAAUUCAAAGCAAAUAAAGAAAAUAUUUUAACAAAAGUCUA